AAGCAAACUCAAGAGCUUUCACUCCACACUUGCCCACACGUUUUUGCCUCUAAGCUUCCAAGCUUUCAAGUGCUCAAGUGUCCUAGCUUUCCAAAGCUUCAAAAGCUCUCCAACUUCUUCUUCUAAUCUUCUUGUUCAUCUUUACAAGUAAGAAGUGUUGUUUGCUUUAAUAUUCCACUCCUCUAAUCAUCUCUUGUGUGUGUCCACUUUGGUUGAGAGGGUUGUCUCAAAAGUACCAAAGUGUGAGAGAAGGUUUGUGAGCUCAACCAUAAAGCUCUAGUUUGGUUUUAUAGAGUUUCCGGGAAAAUUCUUAGGUCGAGUCUACCUUUAAAGAUUUCAGAGGUUUUUAAGAGUUCCUUGAUACUCUAAGGUACUAACUUACCCGUAAAAGUUAGAGGUUCUUAAGAGUGCCCUUGAUACUCUAAGGUGUGAGUCUACCCGUAAAAGACUGGUUCCUAAGCGAAGUAGCCGUAAAACUUAGAGAGGUUUUUAAGAGUUCCUUGAUACUCUAAGGUACUAACUUACCCGCAAAAGUUAGAGGUUCUUAAGAGUGCCCUUGAUACUCUAAGGUGUGAGUCUACCCGUAAAAGACUGGUUCCUAAGCGAAGUAGCCUUAAAGCUUAGAAAGGUUUUGCCAUUACCUUUAGGCGAGUGAAUUCCGGCAGUUGGUCGGGACUGGACUAGCCCUUGUUUGGGUGAACCAGUAUAAAUCUCUUGUGUUGUUCUUUGUUAAUUAUAGUUCUAUCUUUUACUUAAAAACAACACUUAAUUAAAAAGAUCCCUCUUCCAGUUAUCUGGUCAAAUACAGAGGUUGACUACUUUACGCAGAUCCCUCAUCCAGUUAUCUGGUCAAUUAUCUGAGGUUAUAUUCAUUGCUUUAAAUCCUUAUAUUUGUUCAAAUAUUACUUAUCUUAUAUAUCCUGUUAUCUGGUCACUUACUUAUUUAUCAAUAUAUCCAGUUAUCUGGUCAUUUACUUGCUUAUCAAUAUAUCCAGUUAUCAAUUUGUGUUUACAAUAUAACAAUUUGUGUUUCCAAUAUAACUUAGUAUUCAUAUACUAUAGUUGUGUUUGAAACACUAUCAAGCAAGUUGACUCAGUAUUCAUAUACUGUAGUAAGCUUCAAAGAGUAAUACUUACAUUAUUAUAUCAAUUAAAAUAAUAAUAUCCUUAUAACAUUACUGUUCAACCAUUGGUUUAUUAAGCAUUUACAGGUAAUUCCGCUAUCAACCUGUAUAAAUCGAAAAGAGGCUAUCAUCCCCCCUUAUAGCCUCGGAUCACGAUCCAACAAGUGGUAUCAGAGCCAAGUUCCGUUGAAGUCAGACUAACAUCUUACAACAACAACUAUGGCUUCAAAUGGCGAAAACAGUACUGGUCUUGCAUCGAACAAACCUCCCAGGUUCGAUGGAGUAAAGUAUGACUUCUGGAAGAACAAGAUGAAGUUAUACUUAAAGUCAAUCAACAAUGGAGUCUGUAAAAUCAUAUUGGAAGAUUAUGAGAUUCCAACAAGCAAAGAAGAGACUUGGGGAGCUAUGGAUAUCCUCAAGGAAAACAACAACUCAAGAGCAUUGAAUGCACUAUAUGGCGCCCUCAAUGAAUCUGAGUAUAGCAAAAUUCGAUGCUUGGAUACAUCUCACAAGGUAUGGAAAGCUUUGGAGGAUUUACAUGAAGGAACCUCCCAUGUCAAGGAAAAUAAGCUACUACAUGCCACUUCUCAAUUCGAAAGAUUCUCUAUGAGGGAAGAUGAGACUAUCGCAGAAAUGAACAUUCGACUAUCACAAAUAGUCAAUGAUCUGGCUGGACUAGGAGAUCCAGUAACUGAGAAAAAGCAAGUGAGCAAGAUUCUAAGGAGCCUUCCAAACAAAUAGUACUCAAAGAGGAAUGCUAUCCAAGAAUCUCAUGAUCUGAACAAACUCACAGUGGUAGAACUCUGCGGAAAUCUGAUGGCCUAUGAAGAAGAAAGAUUUAUCUCUAGAGCAAAAGAGGAGAAAAAGGAUAUUGCUCUAAAAAGUCAAAGUGAUAAUGAAUCAUCUGAUGAUGACUUGGCAAUGCUCACAAAUCAUCUAAAGAGAUAUCUCAUGAAAAGGAAAGAAAAGAGAAAUUCAAGGAUAGACUAUCAGAAUUCCGACAGAAAAGUGAGUAAAAACUACAAAGACUCAAAGGAGCCUAUCUGCUACUUAUGCAACAAAUCUGGACACAUCAGACCUGAAUGUCCUCUACUAAAGAUGAAAAAGCGCAUCAAGUACACUGGUCAGAUUCUGAGUCAGAUCAAGAAGACUGCCUCAUGGCUCAUGAGAACGACUCUGAGGUAAACUUUACAAAUACUAGAUUUAAUUCAUUAGAAGAAGCAUUUCUAGAAUUAAUGGAUAAAUAUAAAGCUGAGAAAAAAUUAAGUAAAUCAUUAAGACUAGAAUGCAUGAAUAAAUCACAUAUUGAUCAUUCAAUAGAAUUAGAAGAAUCACAAAAAGAAUGCAUGUUAUUAAAAGAAGAAAAUCAUAAACUCUCAAGUAAAAUAAAAAAGGGAGAUGAAAAAAUCAAAACACUUAAGAGUCAAAAUUUUGAAUUACUCGAUAUUCUAGAAUCUGAAGAAAAUCAACCAAAUGAAAUAAAUGGUGAUAGGGUUGAAUUGUUAGAAUUAAAAAUAGAUAAUUUUGAGGAAAUCAUUAGAAAUAAAGAAAAAGAAACAAUCAUGCUUAAAACUGAAAUAGAAUCUAAGGAUAAACUUGUACUUGAGCAUGAAGAAACUUUACAAAAAUUAUCUGAAAAAUAUAAUAGCAUGCAAUUACAAACUAAAAGAAUAAAUGAGAAAAAUAGUGUUCUUCAGAAAUUCUUCAAUAGUUCAUCAAAGUUAAAUAAUAUGUUGCAAGGCUCGAACUUGGGUCAAAAGAAAUUUGGCUUAGGGUUUGAGUCAAAUACACCUAUUAACAAAACCCUAAAUGCCACAACUUAUAAUGAUCAUUUUGUAAGGGAAUCUAGUUAUACAAAACCUUUGCAUGCUUCAAUACAUAAUAAUUAUGCUUUAAUACAUAAUAAUUAUUCUAGCAAUACAAAGUUCAUUCAUCUAAGAUGAAUCAUCCAAAGCAAAGAUGGAUGACUAAAGAUGAGCUAAGAAGUUAUAAGCAGAUUAAGUAUGUUAAUUCAUCCGGACCCAACUCAGUAUGGGUACCAAAGGAUCUUUCAACUUUUUCAGGAAAAGCAUGUGUCAAAAUGGAUGUUCGACAGUGGAUGCACAAGACACAUGACCGGGGAAUCAAGUCUACUAAACGACUUGAUAGACUUACCUCCUACUAAAAACGCCGAUAACAACGAAGGUACAAUAGUAGGUAGGGGUAAUGUAGGAAAUACAGAAAAACCAUUCUUAAGAAAUGUAUACUUAGUAAAUGGUCUAAAACACAACCUGAUUAGCAUAAGUCAAUUAUGUGAUAUCGGUUGUGUAGUAAAAUUUGAAAAAUACAAUUGUUCUAUCACUAACUCUGAGGGAGUUAUCAUUGCCAGAGGAUAUAGAAAAAGCAAUGCUUAUUCUAUAAACUUUGAUAAAUCUAAACCAACUCAUGACUUCUGCAUGCUUGCUGCAAGUGAUGAGAAAGUUCUGUGGCAUAGACGACUAGGUCACACCAGCUACUCAAAGCUAUCUAGAUUAUCUAAAGAAGAAUUAGUAACCGGGUUGCCUAAAAUAGCUUAUGAAAAAAGUAAUAUCUGUGAUGCUUGUCAAAAAGGAAAGCAACACAAAAGCUCACUUAAAUCUCUCACAAAAAUAACCACUUCUAGACCCUUAGAACUUCUUCACAUGGACUUAUUUGGGCCAACCCAAACCCAAAGUCUUGGAGGAAAAAGAUUCACCUAUGUAAUCAUUGAUGAUUAUUCUCACUAUACAUGGGUAUUCUUUCUAAGAAACAAAAGUGAAACCUUUGGUGAAUUUUCUAAAUUUUGUACCCUAGUACAGAAUGAAAAAAGUUCAUCUAUCAUAAAAAUCAGAAGUGAUCAUGGAAGAGAAUUUGAAAACUCUGACUUUGAAGAGUACUGUAUAUCCAAUGGGAUAAAGCAUGAAUUUGAUGUUUUUCAAGCUCCACCUCAAAAUGGAAUAGUAGAAAGAAAAAAUCGUACUCUUCAAGAAAUGAGUAAGUCUAUGUUACAAGAACAUGACUCCCCUCAAUAUCUAUGGGCAGAAGCUAUAAGCACUGCUUGUUACACUCUAAAUAAGGUAAUCAUUAGAAAAACCUUAAACAAAACUCCCUAUGAACUUUGGAAUAACAGAAAACCCAAAGUUUCAUUCUUUAAGGUAUUUGGGAGUAAGUGCUAUGUUCUCACAACAAGGGGAAACCAAGAUAAAUCAGCACAAAAAUCUGAUGAAGGAAUCCUGGUUGGAUACUCAAAAAGGAGCAAGGCAUAUAGAGUCCUUCUCAAAGAAAGACAAACAUUGAUAGAAUCCCUACACGUUGACUUUGAUGGGUCCAUCUCUGUUCCAAACACAGAAGAAGGAGGAGUUAAAGUCAUUAAACAAAUACCACACUCCCAUAGAAAGAGAUGAUCAAGAAACAAUCGUCUCUGAACUUCCAUCAAAUAAGAAUCUCAGAAACUCAGAACAAAUCAUUGGAGAUCAACACACUAGCAUACAAACAAAAUCAUCUAUACAAGGCAACUAUGUCCUAGAUUGCUUUGUAUCUCAAAUAAAGCCUAAAUAGAUCUAUAUGCAUAUGAACUUAACAUGAUCUAAUGCUAUAUAAACAUACAUGCUUUUAUCAUUCACAUACUAAGCUCUACACGCACAUAACUCAAUAGACAUAGUAAGAUCUAAAUGCAUGUCUAUCAUAUCAAUCACGUUAAUACAUGCCUAUACAUUGAUUUAUAUGCUUCUAUAAAAUAUAUGAUCUGAUAAAUGCUUGGUUUAUAAAAUCUCCUAUGAAAUAUUCAACUACAUAAUCGUUAUAUGCUAUGUGAUUGUGCUUUCAUUAUUCAACUCACUGAUUCAUACAUAUCAUAUAAUCACCUACCAAACAGUUGAUUAUCUUUGAAUAAUGCCAUCUUUUUAAUACUAGUUAAAAACUAUGAUGACAUACAAUCAUAAACAUGAAUAUUUCCUUACUAAAUUAGCUAACUCAUAAUCAAUUCAUGAGACUAAUCCUAUACAUGCAUGUUUUACAUGCCAUCUGUAUGAUCUUUUGAUAAAUACAUAUAAUAUGCAUGCAAAGCAAAAUGAAUCUACCUACAUAUGAGAUGUGCAAUACAUGCAAAUUUCAUGCCAUGUUGCUUAUAUUAUAAAUCUUACUUAUCACUGAUCAUCUGCAUGUUUAGAAGAGUCCUUUAAAUGCAAACUAGUCAACUAUGCAACAUCAUCUAAAUACAACAUAUUGUUAAAUCCAUUCUGCUAUAUUAUAUCCUAAUGAUGUUGGUAAGCUACACCAUGCCUUGGAAACUCAAAACAAAUUAGAUAUGUUUUGAAACUCUCAUUGCUGAAAAAGCCAGCAACUCAUCUGCAACCAUCAAUCACUUGCGACAUCCGGCAACUCUAUUACCAGAGAAACACCUCGCAAGAAGUGCUGACAGAAGACAAAUCCUGCACCUGCACACAUCAAUCUUUGUCUGCAGAAGUUGAAAACAUCGGCUACAAAAGUCUAAAGGCAUGGAGAGUAUAAAAGUUGUGUUGAACUACUAAAAAGGUAUGAAUAAAUAGUUUUUUUAAAACAAAUCUUAAUUUAGAAACAAAUCUCUAGAUAAAUCUAAAUGAUUUGACUCUCCAAGACAUGUGUCAUGGAGUAUUGAAAAACAAACCCUAAGUUGCCAACUCUUCACGGGUAGACAUGACUUAAAGCUUGUAAAGCUUUACAAGUAAUAUCUGAUAAUUCAGAAUCCGGACAGACAUGAUCUGCCAAAAGAUAGAAUUUCUCACUAUAAAAGGACAGGAAGAACAAUCAAAACAUAUCUUUUCCUCUUCCUAACAUCAGUCUGUCCCAAGGAUGUUGAUUCAAGAAAUCGAUCCUGAGAAGAAGGAAUUAACAAUCAUACCAGACUGUCCUUCCAGUCCGGUAUACAACCCUAAUCCCUCAAGCAGCAAAGUUAUCCGGAAGAAACGCACCAGAAAGAGUCCAGCAUCAGAAAUAUUCCAAGGAACACCAACAUGGAUCUCUCCAAUAGCCAAGUUUUCCUAUAAUCUCAUUCUCGAGCAAAGAAUGAUCUUUGAGGAACCUGUUCUACUCAGAUCUCUCAACUGCAAGGUGAUUGAAGGACUACUAAACUUCAACAGGCUUACUGACUACCUUGAGAACAUAGGGAAGCUCAGAAUCUACAAAUCUGAGUUGGCUCAGUUCUAUGCAAAUCUCAAGUAUGAGACAGUAGGUACUCAAGUGAUCACCACCAAGGUAAAUGGAAUAUCUCUCGUUCUAGGAGCUGAUAAACUUGGAAUAUGGAUAAACCUACCCAACAACGGAGUAAAGCUUCAAAACUACAGAAGCCUGGAUGAGCUACCUUUUAAGUGCAGCUGGGAGAUUCUCUGGAAUACUCUCACCCACAGGUAUAACCCUAAGAGCACUGAUAAGAUCCUAAAGACAAUGCUCAUACCAGAAGCUUCAAUCUUUCUGAAGAUCAUCUCAUACAACAUAUAUCCUCAAGUUGAAGAUAAAGAAGAACCAUCAACAUUGAUAUUAGUAGCAAUUUACUGCCUGCUGUCAAAGAUCAGAGUGAACUGGGUAUCACUGAUCAUGCACAAUUUGGCUACAUCAACCAAGAACACUGGAGCUCGCUACUACCCAAGGAUGCUUUCAAAACUACUCAGUCCAGGGUACUUUGGAAUUCCACUCUAUCCACAUCCAAUCAUAUCUCACAUUCAGCCAUUCACUGCAAGCUCCUUCCAAAAGACUUGGAGGAACACCUAUGAUCCAAACUCACCAAACACUAAUGUGUUUUUGAAUGAGGAAGUCAUAAGAGUUAGACAUCAAGUAAGGAUGCUGGAAAAAGGAAUGGGAGAUCUGGAAGAGAUGGUGUCUAUAACAAGGCAACAGCUAGAUGAUGAAAGAGAGUACAACCUGGAGCUGGCUAACCUAUUUCAUGAGUUUAGCUCCAAGGUCAUCCCAACCAUGCACCACCAUGACUGAACUACAUCUGCCCUAAGAAGUAUUUUGAUGUUUUAAGUACUUAAUCUUGUAUCUGUUUUUCUGUUUUUUGGAGAUCCAUUCAUGGAUCGUUGUCUCAUUGAAUAUGAGAUUCAUCCUGUCAUGUUUCACCUCUUUUGUUGAAAUGGAAAAGUUCUAUGAUUUUAAUCAUCAUAAGGGUAUGCAUGCAUAAAGAAAAACAUAAUAUUAGCAAUAUCAAAAACUUGAGGGCUGCAUGGACAUUAGUUAAUACUUCAGGGUAUAAUUAAAAUUCUUUUGAAGUAUUAAUUGACUUUUCAAAGUCAUGAACUUUAAAACUUCAAGGGAUUAAACAUAAAAUAUUUUUGAAGUUUAAAAAGAUUUACUUAAAACUUAAGGAUUAAAGGUAUAUUUUUCAGUAAAUAUAGAAUUUUAUGAAACUUCAAGGGCUUAAAGAAAAUCAUUUGUGAAGUUUUUAAGAUUCACUGAAAACUUAAGGAUCAAAAAUAUAUUUUCAGUGAAUAUAAAGUUUUGUGAAACUUCAAGGACUUAAACGUAAAUCGUUUAUGAAGUUUUUAAGUUUUAAUAGAUUCACUGAAAACUUAAGGAUCAAAAAUAUAUUUUCAGUGAAUAUAAAUCUAGUUAAAACUUCAGGGACUUAGAAUCAAUAUUUACAUGAAGUUUUAAUCAGAAAAAUUACUUAGAAAUAUUUAAUACUUCCAAGGUUUAAAAUAAUAUUUUUUAAGUAUUAAUCUAAGUAUUCAUUAUAACUUUAAAGGGAUUAAAUUAUCUAUGAAGUUAUUCAUUAAGGGUUCAAAGGAUACCAUUACAGUGAAUAUUUAGUUAAAACUUCAAGGACUUAAAAUUAAUAUUUACAUGAAGUUUUCAAUGCUUAGAAUUGGUUAAUACUUCCAAGGUUUACAUGAAAUAUUUCAAGUAUUAAUCUAAGUUUUUAUUAUAACUUCAAAGGGCUUAAAUGAAAUUUUGUUUUAAGUGAAGUUUUACUACUAAGGCUUUAAGGACUGAAAUGAAAAUUUUAAAUCUUUUAAAACUUAGUGAAUAUUUACAUGAUUAUAUUUGUCACUAAGACAUAGAUUUUAAAAUUUUAAAUGCUCAAUUUCUCCUUAAAGCAAUUAGUGAAUAUUAUGGAUUUAUACAUAUCAUUCACUAAUAUCUUAUGGAUUAUAACAUUAUAAUCCAUACAUGUUAAGAUCAUCUUCAUCCAUAACACACACAUGGAUUAUUAUUCAUUGCAUGAUCUCAACACAAGGCAAUUUAAAUUAUCAUAUCAUACUUGCCUUAUAAUGUAUAUCAAAAUUGGCUUCAAUCCAAUAUUUUAUCAAUGAGCAUAAAUUACAUGUUAUUUCUCCUUUAUGAUUGAUUAACACUCUUAUAAGCAAGACGCCACAUUUGGUCAACCACACAAAUCGAAUUUGUGAUUAAAGCUCAAUAAGGUAUGAAGUUUUAUUUUCUCCACAAAUUAGAUAUGUCCUAUCAUUAGGGGGGAGAUACUUCACAGGUAUCUAUUUUUAACUUUGUCGAUACCUUAUUGUUUUAAGGGGGAGAAAUCAUGCAUGAUCCACUGCUUUUAAAUUGAAUAUUAUGGGUCAAUAAUUCAGGGGGAGCAUGCUCAUAAGGGUAAAAUAGAAUAUUGACUAGACAUGAGUUAAAACAUAUAUGCCAUCGACAAAGGGGGAGAAUGUAGAAUCAAAAUUGUCGACAUAGGAUUAUAUUUUAAUCAUGUCAAUUUAAAUCCUAAUUACACUAUUAAUCAAUAGGGGUUAAAUAAGUCAAUCGAUAUUAAACCUAACUCCAGUUAAUUAAUUAAUCAUUUGAGUUAAGGGUUUAAGUCAAAGUUAAAAGUCAAACUGGGAGAAUUGCAUUUUCACCUUGAAUAUUAUUAUUUGGAAUAAUUGCAUUUUCACCUUGAAUAUUAUUAUUUGGAAUAAUUGCAUUUUUACCUUGAAUAUUAUUAUUAUUAUCUUUUGACACUUUAUUCAAGGUAUAAUAUUCCAAGGGGACAAAACACUAUUCAAGUUUGAAUUUAUACAAAAAUAAGAUUCUCCAACAAAGAUAAGAUUCUCCAACAAGGGACAAAACACUAUCCAAGGAAAACACUAUUCAAAGACAAAGCUUGGAUUUAUGUGAAAAAUCAAGGAGACAUCCAUUGAAGAUCCAAGGGUGGACAUUGAGUGGCCAAGGCUAUAAAUAGAAGGGUAAUCCCCUCAUUUUCACUCACCACACUACAAGCAAACUCAAGAGCUUUCACUCCACACUUGCCCACACGUUUUUGCCUCCAAGCUUCCAAGCUUUCAAGUGCUCAAGUGUCCUAGCUUUCCAAAGUUUCAAAAGCUCUCCAACUUCUUCUUCUAAUCUUCUUGUUCAUCUUUACAAGUAAAAAGUGUUGUUUGCUUUAAUAUUCCACUCCUCUAAUCACCUCUUGUGUGUGUCCACUUUGGUUGAGAGGGUUGUCUCAAUAGUACCAAAGUGUUAGAGAAGGUUUGUGAGCUCAACCAUAAAGCUCUAGUUUGGUUUUAUAGAGUUUCCGGGAAAACUCUUAGGUUGAGUCUACCUUUAAAGAUUUCAGAGGUUUUUAAGAGUUCCUUGAUACUAUAAGGUACUAACUUACCCGUAAAAGUGUGUAUNNNNNNNNNNNNNNNNNNNNNNNNNNNNNNNNNNNNNNNNNNNNNNNNNNNNNNNNNNNNNNNNNNNNNNNNNNNNNNNNNNNNNNNNNNNNNNNNNNNNNNNNNNNNNNNNNNNNNNNNNNNNNNNNNNNNNNNNNNNNNNNNNNNNNNNNNNNNNNNNNNNNNNNNNNNNNNNNNNNNNNNNNNNNNNNNNNNNNNNNNNNNNNNNNNNNNNNNNNNNNNNNNNNNNNNNNNNNNNNNNNNNNNNNNNNNNNNNNNNNNNNNNNNNNNNNNNNNNNNNNNNNNNNNNNNNNNNCAUCCAGUUAUCUGGUCAACUAUCUGAGGUUACAUUCAUUGUUUUAAAUCCUUAUAUUUGUUCAAGUAUUACUUAUCAUAUUUAUCCAGUUAUCUGGUCACUUACUUGUUUAUCAACUUAUCCAGUUAUCUGGUCACUUACUUGCUUGUCAAUAUAUCCAGUUAUCUGGUCAUUUACUUGCGUAUCAAUAUAUCCAGUUAUCUGGUCAUUUACUCUACAAUAUAAUUUGUGUUUCCAAUAUAACUUAGUAUUCAUAUACUAUAGUUGUGUUUGAAACACUAUCAAGCAAGUUGACUCAGUAUUCAUAUACUGUAGUAAGCUUCAAAGAGUAAUACUUACAUUAUUAUAUCAAUUAAAAUAAUAAUAUCCUUAUAUCAUUACUGUUCAACCAUUUGUUUAUUAAGCAUUUACAGGUAAUUCCGCUAUCAACCUGUAUAAAUCGAAAAGAGGCUAUCAUCCCCCCUUAUAGCCUCGGAUCACGAUCCAACAAGUAUGAGCUGGCGGAUCUCUUCGAGAAUCCUUAGGAUCUUGGGAAAUAUUUGCAAAUUUUCCAAGUAUGGAAAUUUCCUCCUCGUAUCCCGUGAUUUUUGCCCAAACUCGGCGAGUUUGCGAGAAACUCGCCGAGUCUUGUGGAUUUGGAGAUCAAUUAGCGAUUUUUCUUAGGAGUUUUUGCAAUUUGCCCAGGGUCUAUAAAUAGUGAGUCAAUUAUUUUAAUCCGCACAUCACUUUCCCUGAUUUUGCUUAAACCCUAAUCCCUUUCCAAGUCGCCGAGUUUCUUCCUAACUCGCCGACUCUCAUUACAAUUACCAGAACUUUUUCCAAAAUCGCCGAGUCUUACCUUAAAUCGCCGACACAUGGCAGACGAACCGUCUCUACCUAGACUGACAAUGUCGGAGACCGAAGCUCUGGUCCCCGAUAUUCUGAAUGAAGAUAUCGAUGAAGGCCUGACAGGGGUGCUCGACACCGUCGAGUCUCCGAUUCCCUCACCUCCGCGCGGUGGGUCGGAGAUUCUGGCUGUCGAUGCGCCGCAGGACGUCAGGUACUUGGCUACUGCCUGCGAGUUGCUCGGGCUGACUCCUGAAAGCUCGUCGAGUUCCCAAAAGAAAUCGGCGAGUUUGAUGGAUAACUCGAUGGCUCUGGUCGUGGCAGAGCCUUCUAUUGAAAUGGGCGAGAUUCCCCCGAGUCUUGCAACUAAAUCGGCGAGUCCCCUUGGGAAGUCGCCGACUAAAGGCAAGGGGGGUGUCCCCACAUUCAAGAGACCUCGCUGAGUGAUUACACUGGGAUCGGCGAGUUCCGCACAAACAUCGGCGAGUCUGGGCCCUAAGUCGCCGAUGUUGCCCCUAAACUCGGGGGCUGAAGUUGAAGAAGUUCCACCUAUUCAAGUGGUGGAUGUUGAUAGGCUGAUUGACGAAUCUGAGAGGCCGAAGAAAAGAAAAAGGAAACACCCUAAGCAUGCUAGGGAUUCCUUUGAGAAGCCUACCGAGGCUGAUGCCCCCAUUCCUCACACUUACGGGAUGGGUGGUAGAGGAAAAGUGCACUUCCCCUCUGCAGAGGACGUACGGGUACCUGAGCCCUUUGACUAUUCUCAGGAGAUUCCAGUUGACCGCGGCCAGAGCCGAAGCCGCGAUGACAGAUCGAACACUCCUCCUCCACCUAUGGAAAUAGACAAGGACGGAGAUCAUGUAAACCUCCCAUUCUACGAGGGAGUUGAGAACCACACCGGCUAUGUGCACUGCGAGACCUUGCCGGGUGGUGAGAUAAGACUGUUUCCCCUCUGUGAUACUGACGAGGGGUCUUUUGAAGAGGUUUCUGUCAAUGCACCUCUCGUGCCUCAGAACGAGACCGCGCAUCCCUUUUCCAUAACCUCUGCGCUUGAAGCCCGUGAGAUUCUACGCGGUAUUCGCAUAUAUAUCUGGGCACCUGCGAUUCUGGGGAUCACAAUAUCAGCCCGCGAAUAUGCCUCCAGCCGGGUUCCAAGCCAUUCCCCGCCUUUAUUUCAGACACUUCUCAAUGCUGCACGGUGGGGUGUCGCUGUCGCAGAUGCAGGCAGCAUUUUUUGUGUAUUUGAGAGGAUUCUCCAACAUCUGUUGGAGCCUGAACAUCCCCGCGACCGCCGCCUUAUUCUUCUGGUUUUUCAAGUUUGUGAAGGCGCCCGCUUCCGAAUAUGGUCGGUUGGGGUUAGCUAAGCGGUUCAGUGGGAGAGAGCUGAUUAUAGAACUCCCCACUAACUACGGGCCCCAGUGGAAGAGUGAGUUCUUUUUUAUUGAUUCUACUUUUGUACGCGGGAGCCGCGAGAGGUGGGCCAACGCUCGCCGCGUACACCUGGAUGUUCCUUGCGCCCUGAGCAAGGCUGAACUGAAGCGGGUGAAGAAGAUCUCUUCUGCUCUCGCUUCUUUCGAAUGCGGGCAAGGAAUUCCUUUCGCUUUGUGCCAGCGAGAGGAUUUCACUUUUUCUGACGUGGCACACUACCUGCGGUCAGAGGACCCUUCUGGCAAUCCUAUCAAGAAGAAGAAGGGUGCACAUCUAUACCGCGAGGCGGUCCUUCCACACUUGGCCGUGAGACUUCGCGGCGCUAAGCUGAUACGAGAAAGGAAGGCCCAAGAGACUGGCCCACGCAGAACCUUCGAGACUGGGUCGAGCUCGAGGUCUGUGCCUGAAUUCGUCCCCUUCCGCACCACUUUUGACUAUCCGGGCUUGUUUGCCGACGAAGGGGUGCGAACGAAGGCUGCCCAGCUUCUUCUGACUAAGCCUGGGGACUGGAUAUGCGAAGAGCUUGGAAAAGCUAUAUCUGCUGUAAGUGAUUCGCAAUCACUUUUCAUUUAUAUUUGUUUCAUUUUAUAUUACUAACUGAUUGUUUAGUUUUGUAGGUCGCGUAUUUAUCAAAUGCAACCAUUGGUAUGCAAUCUGCGAACGACACACUCCGUUCUCAACAGGAGUACAAUAAACUUGAUGACAGGUAUCAAGCUGUCUGCAAAGAAGUGUGGUCGUUGAGAAAGACCCUCCAACGGAACAAGAAGUUGGAGGAACAAGCUGCUGAGCACGAGAAAGCAAUGGCGGCGAAGAACAAAGAGUGCGCAGCGCACGGACUUGAAAUUACUGAUCUUCGCCGAAGCUGUGACUCUCUGAAAGAAAAUGAGUCGUUUCUCGUUGCUGCUCGAAAACAGGUUGAUACGCUGAAGACGCAGCUGGAUGUGGAAGUGGGAAAUGCGAUGAUUUCUGAAGCACAAAUUCAGAAAUUGCAAGUUGAAGUUUCUGAAUCCACUUCAGCUCUGAAGGAUUUGCAAGAUCGCUUCUCUCGGUCCACGGAGGAGUCGAAGAAGAUGAAGGAAGCUCUGGAUGCUUCUUCUGAGAAGGUGGAGUCCAAUCGGGCGACUUACGGGCUAACUCGGCGAUCUGGACGAUGAACGUGUUCCGCACCGUGGGAGCUCUCCGGGGGUCCUGCCAUAGCGACGGAGCCCUAGUCCUUGUUGAGAGGCGUGGCUGGGUAGUGACUGGUGUAAUCAGGCAUGUCUCACCAGUACUCCCCCCUGAAGAGAGCACAAGAAACAUGGUGUAUCACCAUGUUCCUUUUCCAGGAACAACGCUUGGUCGUUCGUUCCCGGUUGGUAUUGUUCGAUCCGCGCGGUCGGCCAUACUAGUUCGGCCGGCGCUACCGCCUCCAUCCCGAAUGCAAGGGCGAAUGGGGUCUGGCCCGUGGGAGUUCGGAUGGUCGUGCGGUAUGCCCACAUAGUUUCGGGAAUCAGGUCCACCCAGUUUCCCAGAUGUUCGCCUACUUUCCUUUUGAGGAUCGACACUAUCGUCCGGUUCGUAAACUCCACCUGCCCGUUCACCUGCGUGUGGUACACUAGCGCGAAGCUCAACUUGAUCCCGCUGUUUUCGCAAAAUUCUCUUAACUUCUUCCCUGUGAACUGCGUUUCGUUAUCCGUUAUUAUUUGGAUAGGGACCCUGAUGAAGCACGAAAUCUGCUACCAGUAGGCUCGCGGGGUCGCGAGGAGGGCCGGAGGCUUUGGAGUCCACGACGCACACUCUACGUCAAUGUACCUGCAGAAGGGGAGGGGAAUCGGCGACUCUCUUGGGAGUAGGCGAUUCGGGCUCCAAGUAUUGCUCUGGUUGGUGUGUGUCAAGUGGGAAUGACUUGAGGGUAGAGGUCCCCCAAGGACCCCUUUUAUAGGGUCCUGGGAGACGUUUCCCCAUUCAUUAGUGUGGGACCCACUCCAUUAAGGUAUCCUAUUAAGGAGUGCCUUAAUGACGUGGGCCCACUCAAGUAACGGCUGGGAGUCGGCGAUUCAGGUGUGGGAAUCGCCGAUCCAGAGGUUCAAUCGCUGACUCCCCAUGAGCCUAGUGGCAGCCUACCAGAACUGUCCACGAGGCCUAGAGUCAGCGAUUCACCCCUGGAGUCGGCGACUUGGUAGUCCCAAUCGGCGACUCCCAGGUGCUGCCUUGAGUACUUGACGUAGACACUCCUUCCGAAUUCGUGGAACUCUCCGGGGGUCCGGCAUAAAGCAACGGAACCCUAGUCCUUGUUGAAGGGCAUUGCUGGGAGUGACUGACGUGAUCAGGCAUGUCUCACCAGUACUCCCCCCUGAAGAGAGCAUGGCAAAACACCCGUGUAGCCUCAGUAUCCCCCCCCCGAGCAAGGUAGUCCGCAUCAAGGCAGGAAGCGACAAGAUGGGAUUGAGUCAUUGUGCUCACAGCGACACUAAUGACUCCGCGUGGUCCAUGCACUAUCAGAUGGACUGAUUCACUAUCAGAAUCUAGUUCCAGGCCAAUGGAACUACAUGUUUAUGGUCCUACUCUGAUCAAGAGCGACUUUUGCUGUGUGGAUUCUGGCCGAAGCGACAGAAUGCGUGGAUUCACUAUUAGAAUCUGAUUAUGGCCGAAGCAACAGAAUACGUGGAUUCGUUAUCCGAAUCGGGUUCUGGCCGAAGCGACAGAUUGCGUGGAUUCACUACUAGAAUCUGAUUCUGCCCGAAGCGCGAGAAUCUAGUUCACUAUCAGAACUGAUGUUUAUAGUCUACCCUGAUCAAGAGCGACUUGGUGUCCGCAACGACGGUUACCCCAUAGGCCGAAACGCAAGAUGGGUCGAGAUCAUUAAGGUCAAAGCGACAAAAUGAUCUCCAAAUGUUUGAAGAACUAUUGAAGCCAAAGCGACAACAUAAUUCUCGGUUUGAUUCUGGCCGAAGCGACAGAAUCAUGCCUGCAAAUCAAAAAACAACCUGCAAAACAACUAUAUUAGUCUAAAUGAUAUAUUUAUUGAUUUACUGACCUUGCCGUGCGGAGCUGCCUCUCAUGCUGCUCCUCCUUAUGCUCAAUAAAUCCUUGAUUGAUCUGUCCGAAGCGACAGAUCUAUCAUGCUCAAAAAAUGUGACAGCUUCUGGCCGAAGCGACAGAAGUGCGGACUCACUAUUAGAGUCUGAUNNNNNNNNNNNNNNNNNNNNNNNNNNNNNNNNNNNNNNNNNNNNNNNNNNNNNNNNNNNNNNNNNNNNNNNNNNNNNNNNNNNNNNNNNNNNNNNNNNNNGAUCCACUAUCAGAAUCCGAUUCUCGCCUCGGAUACAGAACCUGCUGACUCACUAUCAGAAUCUGGUUCACUAUUAGAACCUGGCUCACUAUUAGAACCUUUCCUGUAGAAAAGAAAACAUCCUGCAAAACAACUAGAUCAGUUCGAAAACGCAUAUAUUUAUUAUUGAACUAUUGAACUUACCAUGUGAUCUACCUUUCGUGAUAUCCCUCCUUUGCUCAAAUUUGUCUUCGGUAAAUCUGGCCGAAGCGACAGAUUUUACCGUGCUCAAUGAAAUUUGACAACUUCUGGUCGAAGUGACAGAAGUGUCGGGAGAGUUUGUGAUACUCCCCCUGAAAUGUGACGACUUCUAUCUAACUAGACAGAAGUGUCAGGAGAGCUUGUGAUACCCCCCCUGAAAUGUGACGACUUCCAUCCUAUAGACAGAAGUGCCGGGAGAGCUUGUGAUACUCCCCCUCGAAAUGUGAUGACUUCCAUCCUAUAGACAGAAGUGUCGGGAGAGUUUGUGAUACUCCCCCCUGAAAACUUGCACUUGGGGCAGUUUUAGUGUUAUUUUACCCGGAAUCGGCGACAAGAGUUUGUGAUACUCCUACAGUCGGCGAUACCUAUGGUUUGGGUAACUGUAGGGGGUAUUUUUGUUUUNNNNNNNNNNNNNNNNNNNNNNNNNNNNNNNNNNNNNNNNNNNNNNNNNNNNNNNNNNNNNNNNNNNNNNNNNNNNNNNNNNNNNNNNNNNNNNNNNNNNCGGCGACUCCCUCUGUGAGUCGGCGACUCCUAGUGUAACCGUCGGAUCUUUUUGGGAGAUCCUUGGGAUAUUUGGAAGAUAUACGGGAAAUAUUUGUAAAAUCUUCAAAUAAGGAAAUUUUUCUCACAGUGCUGUGAGUUUUUGCCCGGAGUCGGCGACUGCCCUGUGGAGUCGGGGACUUGGCGUGAUUCGGGGGAUUUGGAGAUCGAUUCUUGAUCUCAAAUUUUGUAAAUUUUGGGUUUUCUGGGGGGGUUUUGCAAUUUUCCCAAGGGCUAUAAAUAGUGGAGAGGUUUUCCCCAAACCCUCACAACACUUUUGCCACUCUUAAAUCGCCCACACCUCCAGAUUUUUGAAUUGCCGAUUCUUCAGUUUUAAACUUCGAAUCGCCGAUUCCCCCAAUGUCUACCCCCGAUUCCCCUUUGUCCCAAUUGAACGAAGACGAAACGUCAGCUCUCAUAGCUGAACUGAUCGUGGAUAACCUUGAUGAGGUGUUGAACACCGUUGAAUCGCCGAUUCCCUCUCCUGACAGGGAGGUUGAGUCGGCGAUUCCGGUCGUGCCACCUCAUGGUAUGGAGCUAAGUGCCACCGUGCACGAACUACUUGGCGCCACCGUGCACGAACUACUUGGCGCCCCGCCAGUGUCGGCGACUCAGUGCAGGGCCCUUGUGGUCGUACGGCAGCCUCUUGAGCCGGGGGAAAUUCCCGUGGCCUCUGUGUCGGCGAAUCCCAUUGUGGAGUCGGCGACACAUGCAGGUCCUGUUAAGGGGAAAUCCUUCAAGCGAAGGGGGCAGGGCUCAGCUGCCAUUGGGUCGGCGACUGCUGGCCGUGACUCGCCGAUUCCUGUCAUUGGAUCGGCGACUCGUGUGCUGGAGUCGGCGACUCCCAUGCUGAUAGAUGAUUCUUCCGCGUAUCGCACCGCACCAUUGGUCGUGAGCGCGGAAGGACAUAUUGUGUCGGGACUGAACCCGAACCAAGGUCCUUCUCUGAAGAGAAAGAGAAGGCGCACCACUGGAAAGGGCAAAGUACAUGUGCCCGAAGAGAAUGAAGGAGUCCCUCCUCCUCUGAAUAUAAACUUUGAGGAGACCUUGACUGUGGACCAUGGUGCUCCGAAUCCACGUCGUAGAGCGGGCCGGCGCUCUGAAAGAACUCCGCCACCUCCUGUGGAUCUGGAUGCUAGUCGAGACCCGGACCUCGACUUGAACACUUACAUUGGAGCUUUGAACCCAUCUGGGUUCGCUCACUGUGAAAUUGCCGUGAAUGGCGCGCCAAGGUUGCUUCCGAUCGGCCGUUCUGGGGACGGCGAGUACGAAUAGGUUAUGACUCAUGCAACCUUGGAUGGGUCUGAUGGAGUGAAUCCCCCCUCAAAUAUGAAUGCGAGCGACGCUCGAUCAUUACUAUCGGGGAUUCAAUUGUCUGGUCACUUGCGAUUCUGGGUGUCGCGAUACCAGCCAAUCAAUCUGCCACCCCCGGGGUUCCAGGCCAUCCCGAGGGUCUACUUCAAGCACUUCUCCGAGCUGCCGAUUCCGGAGAUUAUAAGCGAAGUGCUUCAGACAUUUGAAGUAUCCCUGUCACAGCUCCCGACGGGAUUCUUUGUGAUCCUGCGGGGCUUCAUGAACAUCUGCUGGGGGCUCAACAUUGCUGCGGCGGCGAGCUUGUUCUUGUACUUCUACAAGCUCACGAAAGAGAAGUCUGCAUCCGGUCGCUUUGGGUUCACGCGACGACAUUUCGACAAGAACAUCGUCGAUGAGCUCCCGACGAACUUCGGAUCCAACUGGAGAAGAGAGUUCAUUUUCAUUACUUCUGAAUUUCUUCCCGGGAGUCGGGAAAUAUGGAAUGACCCCAAUCGAGUGCACAUGAACGCCUCGAUUGAGAUGACUACGAGGGACAUUGAUGCAUCGGAUCGAAUAGCGCUGACACUCACUGCAUAUUCUGUGCCGCGCGGUGUUCCCUUUGUCCUUUGCCAAAGGGAAGACUUUACAUUCGAGGACGUGAAAGAGGCGCACGGACCACCUACCGAAAAGGAGUUGGAGAGCGGAAAGAAACGUUCUAUUUUAUAUCACGACGCUGUUCCUCUUCACAUGCGCAAGAGGUUCCGAGAGGGCAAGCUGAUCAGAUUGCGAAAAAGGAAGACCUCUCGCAGCGAGCCUCGCCGGACCUUUGAGCAUGGGUCGAGCUCUCGCUCUGCACCACCACCUGCCAGGGGCUAUGAGCCUUACACUUCUGCUGGAGUGACACUUCCCGAUUUUAUGGCUAGUGCUGAAACUCGAAGGGAAGCGAUGUCACUCCUCUUGGGUCAUCCUGGGACUUGGUGCAGGAGUGAAUUACUGAAGUAUAUGAAUGCCGCGUGUUAUAUGGCACAUGCUUGUUAUCAUGGAGACUCUAUCCAUGACGUCGAGAAGAUUUAGGAAAAAUACAACCAACUCGACGCAAAGUUCAAGGAGAGCGAGAAGGCUCUUGACAAGCUGAAGAAUGUGAGGUCCAGGAUGGAGAACCUCCGUGACAAUAUUCUGCCGAAGAAGGACAAGACCAUUGAGUCCAAGCAGAAGGAAAUAGACGAGUAUGUCAUGAAGAUCUUGGUGCUUCGCAAAGAUCUGAAAGCUGCUAGCUCUGGCCGUGCUAAAGAUAUUGAAGACCUAAAGAGCCAACUAGCUAGUGAGAAAGGGCACGUGGCCUCGCUUGAGGCUACGAUAGCGGAGUUGAAGAAGCAAGCUGCUCAGAGCCAAAGCGAAACUACUGAGCUGAAAAGCGAGCUUGCCAGUGCGGAAGAAGAGUUUCUGACUCUGAAGGAUGACAAUACCGCACUUACUGAUAGAGCUGCAGGAUUGGAUUUGGAUGUGCGCUACCAAUCCGACCAGCUUCAAAAGCUUAUAUUCUUUGGUCCUUCCGUGUUUCCAGCUCUACCCCCCGACUACAUCACAGACAUAAUGGCGUGGAUAGAGCAGCACCCUGAAGAGCUCGCGAAGAAUAAAGAGGCUCUCGAAAAGAUGAAGGACGAAGCCGCGCAAGAAUAGAUUUUAUAAGUCCUUUUAUUUUGUAAUCUUUUUGUAAUUGCUAUCCUUUUUUGUAAUAUGAAUUUUUAAUGAAAUUAAUCGCUUUUGCUUUUCUAUUCAAUUGUUCAUUUACUUUAUUCUUUUGAAUUGUAACUAAGACCCGAAACUAGAUUCGCAAGUCGUAAUUUAGCCUCUCUGGACGUAAACUAGACUAACCCUAUCGCUAGCCAUUCUGGGCGUAGACUUGGUCGUACGAAUCGUAGCUCAGUCUACGGUUAAAUUCGCGAAAAUAAACUAAACUUCACAACUAAUAGUAAGUCGCAAUAUCGAUUAACAAAUUCGAAAGAUAAUAAAUAUGUCGAAAGAUAACAAUAAAAAGAUACUAUCAAUCCUAAGACUCUAGAGUUGUAGUUUUGCUCCGGCCGAGGUGACAGAGCAACUUUUUGUCCCAUAUCAAAGAUGUAACAAUGAGAUGGGGUGAAAUUGUUUAAAACGAUUACUAAUCUAUUAAGGCCGUAGCGACAUGAUAGAUUCUGAUUUGUGGUGGGUACUUAGAACCUCUUGUGGUUGGGUUCACUUGUACCUAUCAACUACCUAGGACUCUGCUUUUAGACCCUAACGCGUGGUUGAACUCUGGCCAUGAUGACAGAGCAACUUUUUGGACCCAUAUCUAGGCUGAAGAGACCAGAUUGGGCUGAAAUUUUUUAAAGAUGAUUUUGAUCUAUUAAGGCAAUAACGACAAAAUAGAUUCAUAAUGUGGGGUGCUAGCUAGAGUCGUAGGUAGAUGAUAAAUUUAAAUUUUAUUAAAAGAUGCAAAUUACAACAGUAAGAUUUGUAAUUUUUAAACUAACACAUAAACUAAGAGGCUCUAGCGCACAUAAUACUAAGCGCGAUGUUGCUGUACGUUGUCCGUGUGCCAGAUGCAAGGACUUUUGGGUGACAGCUUAUUCCUAUUCCUCUUAGUUAUGCUAGCCUUCCUGUUGGUCUACCACCAAAUAGCAUAUGGAUGGUUUUCCGUGGGUGGUCCUCGCUAUUGUCACUGUCUGGUGAGGGAGAGCGUGGGCGCUUCCCAUUCACGUCAGACUUGCCAUUGUUUCGAUCCCGGGAUCCUUUGACCAGGCUGUCAAGUUUGCCGUUCGAAAUUAAUUGCUCGAUAUAAAGCGAGAAUUCCCUGCAAUAGUCUAUCAGAUGGCCGUGGUCCUUGUGGAAUUCGAAGAAUUUUCCACUUUUCUGGCGGCGAUCCUUGGUUGCAGGGUCCAUAGAGCGAGGAGCGGGCAGAUCCGCUCUGUUCCUCAGUUUUUCAAACAGCUCGCCUUUACUGAUUGUUAGUGGGGUCCGGUUCCUCCAAGGUUGAGGUGGACCCCUUGGUGAUCGUUUGACGGAUGUUUGAUACACUUUGUUAUAAUGUUUAGGCUUCCAAUCCUUUCUGGAGGAAUCAGCCGCAUUGCUAGUGUAUCUGUUCGAGGAGUCAUUGUAGCUCUUUCUCUCGAACUUCUGUUUUUUUAAGCUAGUGUUCUCGAGUUCCACUAGCUUGUUUUUAUUCUGCUCUUCCACCUCAAUGAAUGACUGAGCUCGUUGGAAGAGGUCGGGUAAGGUCUCCACUUUGUGGAGCGUGAGAUUCAUGGCCAGAGGGGAGUAGGGUACCAGCCCGUUUGUGUACCCCGCAAUGGCCAAACUUGGGAUUAAGUCGCUCACUUCUGUCAUCAUUGAAGUGAACUUAAUCGUGUAAUCCCUUAAAGACAAUUUGUCCUGUCGUAGCGCCAGUAGUGCAUUGGCGCUGUGUUUGAUCCUGAUCAUCCCCACGUGUUGGGCGAUGAAUUUGGAUGCAAGGUCUGCAAAGCUGGAAACUGAUCCGGCCGGCAGACCAGAAAACCAUCGAUAGGCAUUGCCCUUAAGAGUGCCGGGGAAUGCUCGACACAGCAGUGCGUUAUCAGUGGUUUGCGGUUCCAGAACGCUGAGGUAGAGGUUGACGUGAUCUUGUGGAUCACUCUAACCAUCGUACGACUCUAUUCUGGGUACCCGCCAGGUUGGUUGAAAGGCCACCUUCAAAAGGUCCUCUUGGAAAGGAGCGCUUUUGACUCUUAAGAACUCGAUCGGAUUGCUGAUGACUAGAGUGUCAGCCAGCUUCCGACGGAGGUCCUCUACGAAUCGUAUUGUAAGAGUCCUAUCAGUGCGACUCUUACUAGAUCCAGCUCUUGAUUUUUCUGGCUCUGGACCUUUCUUUUUCUCCGUAGUUGGAGAAUUGUGAGAAGCCGAUUCACACGCUCUCUUGCGGGUGAUGGUUCUCUGACUCCUUGCUUUUUCAAGGUUGCUAACUCUUCUUUCAAUGUUAUCCAUGAAGUUAACCAACCUUGUUUCUAGAUUAGGAGAGAUGGAUGUCCGAGGGGGCAGAUCAGUUUGGGCAUCCUCGAACCUUUCAACUUGUAUGUUUGGUUGAGGAUGCUCAGUUUAUGCCCCAUCGGGUACCACUGAGGAUUUACCCUUGUUUCUCAGAUGGUAAUCGUGCUUUUGCCCUUCAGAUGUCAUAGAUGACAAAAGCGAAUUCCAACCGGAGCGUAGGUAUUAAUUAGGCUAACUCGAAAGAAACCCAGUGGAGUCGGCGACUCAGUAGGUGGAGUCGGCGACUGGCCUUAGGUUUUUUUGAUUUUCGAGCUGAGUAGAGGCUCGAGAAAAAACCAAGUGGAGUCGGUGAUUCACUAUGGGAGUCGGCGAUUCACAAAGGUGGAAUCGGCGACAGACACUAGUGGAAUCGGUGAUUGCUUUAGGUAGUUUUCCUUCGAGUCUGGCCGUGGACAACACUCUUAGCUAGCAGAAUAACCCGCAAUCGGAGACUCACUGGGUGGAGUCGGCGAUUGCCUGUGUGAAUCGGAGAUUCCUUGACACAAAGUCAGCGACUCACCCUAAGGGAAUCGAGCUGAUCUUUGCGAAGAAAAUUUCACGAUUACGACGGGAUAUCGUAGUUCGAUAGUCCCACAGACGGCGCCAGCUGAUGAAGCACGAAAUCUGCUACCAGUAGGCUCACGAUGUCGCGAGGAGGGCCGGAGGCUUUGGAGUCCACGACGCACGCUCUACGUCAAUGUACCUGCAGAAGGGGAGGGGAAUCGGCGACUCUCUUGGGAAUAGGCGAUUCAGGCUUCAAGUAUUGCUCUGGUUGGUGUGUGUCAAGUGGGAAUGACUUGAGGGUAGAGGUUCCCCAAGGACCCCUUUUAUAGGGUCCUGGGAGACGUUUCCCCAUUCAUUAGCGUGGGACCCACCCCAUUAAGGUAUCCUAUUAAAGAGUGCCUUAAUGACGUGGGCCCACUCAAGUAACGGCUGGGAGUCGGCGAUUCAGGUGUGGGAAUCGCCGAUCCAGAGGUUCAAUCGCCGACUCCCCAUGAGCCUAGUGGCAGCCUACCAGAACUGUUCACCCCUGGAUUCGGCGACUUGGUAGUCCCAAUCGGCGACUCCCAGGUGCUGCCUUGAGUACUUGACGUAGACACUCCUUCCGAAUUCGUGGAACUCUCCGGGGGUCCGGCAUAAAGCGACGGAACCCUAGUCCUUGUCGAAGGGCGUUGUUGGGAGUGACUGACGUGAUCAGGCAUGUCUCACCAGACCCCGAACCGGCAAACGAUGCUUCUAAAGACGAAGUUCAUUACAUUCUGCUCGUUGAUCGUGUUCGUGGCUUCCGCUUCGGACCACUUUGUCAAAUAAUUGACCGCUACGAAUAAGAAUUUUCUUCCCCUCGACGCCGGCGGGAAAGUCCCGACUAUGUCAAUCCCACACCUUGCGAAUGGGACUGGCAUCGUUACGGGAUUCAUCAUGGUGGACGACCGCCUCUGGACGUUCGAGUGCCACUGGCAUUCGUCGCAUCGGACGACGAUUUCUUCUGAGUCUUUUAUUGACUCGGCCAAUAGUAGCCUUGCCUGGCUACUUGCUUCUCCAACGUCCUUCCGCCCUGAUGUGCACCGCUUGCCCCCUCGUGGAGGCUCCGUGCGAUGGCUUUGCCGUCCUCCUGCGAGACGCACAAUCGGUCUACCGAUGGUAGUGGGUAGCUAUCCUUAGGGCACGUUUUGUUGAGGUUUGUGAAGUCAACGCACAUCCUCCACCCCGCAUCUGCCUUUUUCACCAUGACCACAUUGGACAGCCAGGCGGGGUAACACACUGGGCGAAUGAAGCCCGCUCGAGGGAGUUUCUUAACCUCCGUUUCUGCCGCCUCCCUUUUUUCUUCCCUUAGCGGGCACAGCUUUUGUCUGAUGGGGUGGGCGCCCGGGGCCACCGCGAGCUUGUGCUCUGCCAGCGCCCUAGGCACGCCACUCAGCUCCCCCAACUCAUUUGCGAACAAGUCCUCGUUUUUCCUGAGGAGCUGCUCCAGCCCCCCUCUCAAGUCCCGUGGGAGAUCCUUUCCUAUACGUACCUCGUUCCGGCCGAGGCCGAUUAGGAUCGUGUGGGAAGCUGGCCCCGGCUUCGGGACACAAUCGCGUGCAGAGUGCGGUAGGCCCUCGUCCGAUGCCAUCACCUCGCUCACCGAGUUGAAGUAGCACUCGUGUGCCUUCUUCUGGGAUCCUCUGACCGUGCAUACUCCCUCUUUGGUUGGGAAUUUGUGGCACUGGUGAAGCGAAGACAUCACCGCCUGGAACGCGUGCAGCGCCGCUCUUUCUAGGAUGGCAUUGUAUCCAAACGUGAAGUUUACCACGGUGAACGUGACUUCGACUGUCCUUGCUUGAGCGUGCCGGCCCAAGGUGACCGGGAUGGAUAUCAUGGGGGCUCGCCUUGGGAGCAGGUCCGUGCGAGCCAGACCGAGGUCGAUGAAGGUGUUCCAGUACAGUACGUCUAUGGACGCCCCUGUGUCCACCAAAACCCUGUGUAGGCGUACAUUGGAUUUAUCCCUCCUUUGGAAGAUGGGGGUUAUGACUAACGGGUCGUCGUGGGGCGUAGUGAUGUCCUUCAUGUCGUCUUCUGUGAACGAGAUUUCCAUCUACGUUCGUGGGCGCUUCGUCCCCGUCGUCCGGUCCAAAUCUGACGCGUACCGACACCCUUCCCAUGGGUCGUCGCCCCUGGAGGCCCCCCUCAUGCGAUGGUGAGGAUAUCCCCAAUUGCUUCGUCGGCUGGAUCUUGCUUCUGCGCUUAGUGCCUCGUGGGUAUGACCGUCGGACGUCUAGCUGGCGUUGCGGGGGGGGGNNNNNNNNNNNNNNNNNNNNNNNNNNNNNNNNNNNNNNNNNNNNNNNNNNNNNNNNNNNNNNNNNNNNNNNNNNNNNNNNNNNNNNNNNNNNNNNNNNNNAGACUGGUUCCUAAGCGAAGUAGCCUUAAAGCUUAGAGAGGUUUUUAAGAGUUCCUUGAUACUCUAAGGUACUAACUUACCCGUAAAAGUUAGAGGUUCUUAAGAGUGCCCUUGAUACUCUAAGGUGUGAGUCUACCCGUAAAAGACUGGUUCCUAAGCGAAGUAGCCUUAAAGCUUAGAAAGGUUUUGCCAUUACCUUUAGGCGAGUGAAUUCCGGCAGUUGGUCGGGACUGGACUAGCCCUUGUUUGGGUGAACCAGUAUAAAUCUCUUGUUUUGUUCUUUGUUAAUUAUAGUUCUAUCUUUUACUUAAAAACAACACUUAAUUAAAAAGAUCCCUCUUCCAGUUAUCUGGUCAAACACAGAGGUUGACUACUUUACGCAGAUCCCUCAUCCAGUUAUCUGGUCAACUAUCUGAGGUUACAUUCAUUGUUUUAAAUCCUUAUAUUUGUUCAAGUAUUACUUAUCAUAUUUAUCCAGUUAUCUGGUCACUUACUUGUUUAUCAACUUAUCCAGUUAUCUGGUCACUUACUUGCUUGUCAAUAUAUCCAGUUAUCUGGUCAUUUACUUGCGUAUCAAUAUAUCCAGUUAUCUGGUCAUUUACUCUACAAUACAAUUUGUGUUUUCAAUAUAACUUAGUAUUCAUAUACUAUAGUUGUGUUUGAAACACUAUCAAGCAAGUUGACUCAGUAUUCAUAUACUGUAGUAAGCUUCAAAGAGUAAUACUUACAUUAUUAUAUCAAUUAAAAUAAUAAUAUCCUUAUAACAUUACUGUUCAACCAUUGGUUUAUUAAGCAUUUACAGGUAAUUCCGCUAUCAACCUGUAUAAAUCGAAAAGAGGCUAUCAUCCCC
rnacentral:lncRNA from 1 species